rnacentral:rRNA from 1 species
GACAGAGGUGCCGAGCGUUAGGCGGAAUCACUGGGCUUAAAGCGUGUGUAGGCGGGAGAUCAAGUACCUUGUGAAAUCCCACGGCUCAACCGUGGAACCGCUGGGUAUACUGGUUGUCUUGAGCCGGCUAGGGGCGAGCGGAACAGACGGUGGAGCGGUGAAAUGCGUAGAUAUCGUCUGGAACGCCGAAGGUGAAAACAGCUCGCUGGGGCCGCGCUGACGCUGAGACACGAAAGCCAGGGGAGCGAACGGG